GUAGGGAGCAAGCGUUGUCCGGAUUUACUGGGUGUAAAGGGCGCGCAGGCGGGUCAAUAAGUCAGAGGUGAAAUCCUACAGCUCAACUGUAGAACUGCCUUUGAAACUGCUGAUCUUGAGUAUGGAAGAGAGAGACGGAAUUCCAGGUGUAGUGGUGAAAUACGUAGAUAUCUGGAAGAACACCAGUUGCGAAGGCGGUCUCUUGGUCCAAUACUGACGCUGAGGCGCGAAAGCGUGGGUAGCAAACAGGAUUAGAUACCCUGGUAGUCCACGCCCGUAAACGAUGAAUACUAGGUGCUGGGUCUUUAGAUUCAGUGCCGCAGCUAACGCAUUAAGUAUUCCACCUGGGGAGUACGAUCGCAAGGUUG
rnacentral:rRNA from 1 species